GAGAGCGCUCCUUGUUUCUGCUGAGACGGCAACAAGCAGGAGCCCUCAGGAUGCUGCUGCUCCCGGUCCUGGUCCUGGCUUCAGCCUGGUCUUAUGCGGAGACACAAGUGCUUCUGAAACAGUCGAAAACAUCUGUUUCUAGCGGAAAGACCAAAACAGCCUAUAUUGACUGUACAGCUGAGGGCAUAAACGACUUCCAGAAUGCUUAUAUACACUGGUAUCGGCACAUUCCUCCCAAAAGUCCUGAAUGGCUUCUGUAUAUCAGAACGAGAAGAGAUAUUAGUUAUGAUCAGGUAUCCUAUGAGAGAAAGUAUUUUGCUAGUAAGAAAGAACGCAAUGUCUGUACUCUCUCAGUAAAAGACAUAAAGCCUAGUGAUGAAGGCACCUACUACUGCGCCUACUGGGAGUCUCACAGAAUUAGCAGACCAUAG